rnacentral:sRNA from 1 species
UAUACACAUGAAUGGACCCCAGGUAAUA